CGUCUCCACGCGCGGAUGGGAAUUCGGGUGCUCUCCGUCCCGCCACAGCCGCCGGGCUCUAGGGGGCGGCGAUGUCCAGCUUCCCGCCAACGAGACGGGGGGGCGCUGAGCGAGGAGCGCCGCCGCCCGGGCGCGGGCUCUGCGCAGCGCGACGGGGUCUGGGGCGGCGGCGGCGGCUCUUCCCAGCGCCCGGAGAGCGGGGCCGGCUGGGGCGAGCGGGCGGGAGGCAGGACCGCUCGGCCCCGGGGGGCCCCGGCAGGGCGGGGCGGGGCGGGGCGGGGCGGGACGGUGGCAGCCCGCCCCCGUCCUCAUCAGCCGCGGCCGCCGCCCCCCUUCGCCCCAGUCGCCAUGAGCGGAUCCAGCGGGGCCCCGGGGGGCUCCGGCCUCCUCCCGCCGCUGCCCCGGUCCCAGGCCGCCUGGCUCGGCGCGCUGGCCCUGGCCGCCCUGCUGGGGGCCGCGGUGUGGCGCUGGGCCGGGCGGCGGGCGGGCGGCUCCCGGCUGCAGCGGGUGGGGACGGUGUCCGGCCUCUUCGUCUACCCGGUGAAGUCCUGCCGCGGGGUAGCCCUGCGGCGGGCCGAGGUGACGGCGCUGGGGCUGCGCAGCGGGGCGAUGCGGGACAGGUUUUGGCUUCUAAUUAGUGAGGAUGGACAUAUGGUUACUGCCCGACAGAUGCCUCGGCUGGUCCUGAUUUCUGUAAACUGUGAAAAUGGCUACUUAACCCUGAAUGCUCCAGAAAUGAAGGAACUGCGUGUUCUAGUCAAACUCUCCAGGAAGAAUCCAGUGCACAAUUGCAGGCUGUUUGGAUUGGAUAUCCAAGGCAGGGACUGUGGAGAUGAGGCAGCUCAGUGGUUUGCCACCUUCUUGAAUACACAGUCAUAUCGACUGGUGCAUUUUGAGCCACACAUGGCCCCUAGGAAGUCCAGAGAUGUAUUCACCACUUUCCGAUCCACUGAUGAGAUUGCCUAUCCUGACUGCAGCCCGGCCAUGAUCCUUUCAGAAGCUUCGUUGGAAGAUCUAAAUACUAGACUGGAGAAGAAAGUUAAAAUACAGAACUUCAGACCAAAUAUUGUGGUUACGGGUUGCAGUGCUUAUGAGGAGGAUUCCUGGAAUAAGAUACAAAUUGGUAAUGUGCAGAUGAAAGGGACAAUGGCUUGCCCCAGGUGUAUUUUAACAACUGUUGACCCAGACACUAGGAUCAUGGACAGGAAGGAGCUACUGAAGAGGAAAACCAGAGGACUCUGAACUUGGAUUUUCUCAGAGGGAUAGGAGGAAACUUCGCCAUCCCCCAUAAAAUGUGGAUAAUGGUACUGACCUCCUUUGUAAAGCACUCUGAGAUCUAUGAUGACAAGUGCUAUAUAAAAGGUACUGGAUGUGUGAUCCCACUCUGAAGCACAACAUCUACGAAUCAGCUCCACUGUUCGGGAGUCUUUUUGGCACUGAUAAAAUUGAAAUACUUCAGGUUGGAGAUCCUGUGUACAAGAUAAUUGAAUGAUGGAAGAUACCUCUUAAUGGAGAAAUUUACCCUUUUAUUUGUCUGCAAAUAAUUAUUUUCUGAUCAUUGUUUCUAAAAUCACUGUUAGUCUCUUUUGGAUUUAGUUUUGCAUUGCACAGGCCUUUGAAAAACAUAUUAUUCUCAGUUUGACCUAACGAGUUGCCAAAACAUGCUCAGAUCAUGCUACCAGUCAAUGUGUUAAUGCUUAAUCCUGAAUUUUGCCUUCCAGCAAUAACCCAAUCUCCAUGACAGAUAUGUAAUGAAAAAUACACCUAAAAUUAAUACAAAAAUAUAUUUAAAAAUCACAUCGUUGGGGAAGUCAUGAGGCAGGAGGAGUAUGACAACUUUGUCUUACUGGAGUUUUUCUUGAAGUCCAGUAUAACCAAAAACUUUAUUUGGCGUAUAAUUUCUUGACAAUGAGAAGAUUGGAAUGGUUUUGCUUUCUUUUCCAUCUAAUUACAGCUUGGAAAAUAGGAGAAUCCAUCCCUGAGAAAUUACGCUGCAACAGCUGUAAUGUAGAAUAAGGACUAAUAGCAGCUAAAUUUACUGUUCUGGGAUAUAAAGAGCCAUGAUCUUCUCUUUUCCAUGCAUUCUUUCCCUUUCCCUAUUACACCUCUACCCCGAUAUAACGCGACCCUAUACAAUACAAAUUCGGAUAUAAAGUGGUAAAGCAGCUCUCUGGGGCGGGUGGGGCUGCGCGCUCCGGUGGAUCAAAGCAAGUUCAAUAUAACACGGUUUCACCUAUAACACAGUAAGAUUUUUUGGCUCUCGAGGACAGCGUUCUAUCAGGGUAGAGGUGUAUUUGUUCAACUCCUGCCUCUUUCCCAUACAAAUCUGUCUUCUCAAGUGUGACGUCUCUCUUAUUUGCUUCCUCUUUUUCUCAUCUUGUUCACCUUUGCUGCUUACAUUAUUCAUUCCCUUCUCUUCUCCGUACCUUGCUCUGCAGUUUCUACAAUGAUCCACAGAAUGAAAUAUAAAAACAUUAAUCAUCACAACACUGCCACGAUACAGGCAGGUACUGUACAUAUUGGCUGAAAUCCUGUCUCUGCUGAAGUCAGUGGCAAAACUCAGAUUGACUUUAAUAGGGCCAGAAUUUUACCCGUUAUGUAGACAGUUCACCAGUGAGAAAACUAUGGUGAAAAGUUUUAAGUGUCUUGACCAAGGUCACAGAAAGUAAGAGUCAGAAGCAGGGUAAGAAUGCAGGAUUCUGUUUCUCUCUGUUCUGUGCACAGCUCACUAGACAAUGGUGGCCAGAGGCUACAUUGGCUACUUAUCAUCAGAUACCUGGGCAGAAGCCAGUAGAAAACUUGCAAUGGCCCUGAAACCAUUAGCAGGUCUUGUAUGAGGACCAAGAGGUGAUAUACCAUACAACACUGAAUUGGCCCACAGUUUACCCAUAUUUGAUUUAACCAUGUCAAUGAGAUUUUGGCUCCCAAGUGCCUAAAUCACUUUUAAAAAUCAGGAUAAGGCUCCUAAAUCAGUUUAUGUUGCAACACUGAGAGCCAAAACAUCUAAAUACCUUUACAAAUCUGGGUCUCUGGCUGUAUGAGACUCUCUUAUGGUUAAUGUUUAUCAUUCUUUUAUUAACAGCAUAUUAGAAAUUACAUGGUCUAGACACACCACCAGUCAAACAGCAGUCGCUUUUAUACCACCAUCAUGCCUUAUUUAAUGAUUUUGUGCUUGUCCAAUUUAGAUUGUAAAAUCCUUGGGGCAAAGACCUGUCUGAAAUAUGACGUAUAAAGUGAGAUGCUCAUCUCUGGAACUCUAGAAACAGUAAUGGACACAUAGAAAUAACUAUUAAACUUACUACAGUGUCAGUGCCCAUGAAAGGGCAGAUCAUAUAAGCAUUUUGUAUACACUAGCACAUUUAAUAAAACUGGAAUGCAUUCCAGAAUUUUUUUCAGCCUUAACUGUGAAUUUCCUUGCAUUUGUAGGUUUAGCUUAGACUCUUAAAGGGACCCCCCCCACCCAAUCUUGAAAUUUUAGUCAACUGCAAAGAAAUGGGUUUAAAAAGAGUUUCAUGUACUGCAUCUGCCCCUGAGGCCUUGCAAACUUUUAUGGGUUUACAAUCAAAUUUUCCUAAUUUUUUUUUAAACGUUUUCCCCUCUCCUGUUGUAGUUUGAUAGACCCAUGCAAAUAGGGGAAAGUGACUCAAGAGGGAAUGCAAUGACACAGACCAUAGACAAAGUUCUGUCAAAUGCAAAGUAAGCAAACGGAAAAAUAAGUUGUAAUUUUUUUCUCUGCAAGCUACUUUUUCAAUAGGAUGAUGAAGAGUUAGUUGGGAAAAUAUAGCUUAAAAGUUGCAGACAAACAUAAUUUUAUUUUUUAAAAGGCCACCAUCAGUUUAAGUCCUGUCUCUGCACUUAGGGCAAGUCUACACUUGAAACGCUGUACAGAUGCACCGUUGUGGCACUUCAGUGAAACUACUACUAUGUCGACAGGAGAGCUUCUCCCAUUGGAGUAGUUAAUCCAUGUCCAUAAAAGGCGAUAGCUAUGUCAACGGAAGAAGCUCUCCCAUCGACACAGCACUGUCUAUACUGUGGGUUAGGUCGGUAUAACUGUGUGGCUCAGGGAUGUGGAUUUUUCACAGCCUUGAGUGCCAUAGUUGUAACUUUGUAGUGUAGACCUGGCCUUAAGCAUUUUAGUAACUGCACACAGGUAAUCCUUUGAGUUCAAAGAGUUCAUAAAGUUUCACACCUGCAUACAUUGCAGCGCCUGUGUGUUGUUUAUGAUUUAUUGUUCUAUUGAAAUGAACUUUUUUGUGUGCUGGCUUUUAGUCUCUCUCCCUCGUCCCGGCCCCAUCUCCACCCCCAUACAGUGAUGGUUCUCUGAGAUUUUUACACCUGCUAGGUCUCAGGUUGAGCUUGGUAAAUUUGUCCAUAUGUUGUUGUUUAUUUCAAUAAAAAUACCAGAUUACUUCCA